rnacentral:ncRNA from 1 species
UACUUAUCCAGAAAGACUGAGGGAAAGGCCCUGUGAAGUCUUGGCAACCUGUAUUUUGCAAGGUGCUAAUUCCUACCGUCAGGUUGACGGAAAGAUAAGAU